rnacentral:rRNA from 1 species
GUGAGGAAUAUUGGUCAAUGGGCGAGAGCCUGAACCAGCCAAGUCGCGUGAAGGAAGAAGGAUCUAUGGUUCGUAAACUUCUUUUGCAGGGGAAUAAAGUGCAGGACGUGUCCUGUUUUGUAUGUACCCUGAGAAUAAGGAUCGGCUAACUCCGUGCCAGCAGCCGCGGUAAUACGGAGGAUCCGAGCGUUAUCCGGAUUUAUUGGGUUUAAAGGGUGCGUAGGUGGUUUGAUAAGUCAGCGGUGAAAGUUUGCAGCUUAACUGUAAAAAUGCCGUUGAAACUGUCGGACUUGAGUGUAAAUGAGGUAGGCGGAACGCGUGGUGUAGCGGUGAAAUGCAUAGAUAUCACGCAGAACUCCGAUUGCGAAGGCAGCUUACUAAGCUACAACUGACACUGAAGCACGAAAGCGUGGGGAUCAAACAGGAUUAGAAACCCUUGUAGUCC